rnacentral:rRNA from 1 species
AAUGAACGCUGGCGACGUGCUUAACACAUGCAAGUCGUACGAGAAACCCCGGCUUGCCGGGGGAGUAAAGUGGCGCACGGGUGAGUAACGCGUGGGUAAUCUACCCUCGAAUUGGGGAUAACACACCGAAAGGUGUGCUAAUACCGAAUAAGACCACGACCUCCACGGGGGUUGCGGUCAAAGAUGGCCUCUGCUUGCAAGCUGUCGUUUGAGGAUGAGCCCGCGUACCAUUAGCUUGUUGGUGGGGUAAUGGCCUACCAAGGCAACGAUGGUUAGCUGGUCUGGAAGGAUGGCCAGCCACACUGGAACUGGAACACGGUCCAGACUCCUACGGGAGGCAGCAGUGAGGAAUUUUGCGCAAUGGGGGAAACCCUGACGCAGCAACGCCGCGUGAGUGAAGAAGGCCUUCGGGUUGUAAAGCUCUGUCAAGUGGGAAGGACCUUUUUCGGCCGAAUACGCCGAGAAACUGACGGUACCGCUGAAGGAAGCACCGGCUAACUCCGUGCCAGCCGCCGCGGUAA